rnacentral:tRNA from 1 species
GCCUCUAUAAUUUAGUGGUAAAAUGGAUGGCUUUUAACCAUCUUUCCUCAGUUCGAUUCUGAGUAGAGGCA